rnacentral:lncRNA from 1 species
UUUUUUUUUUCUGUUUUUGUCUGGUUUGUUUAUUAAUAUUUGCUUUAUAUAUUUAGGUCCUCCAAUGUUGGGUGUGUAUUUACAAUAGUUAUAUCCUCUUGUUGUAUUGGUCCCUUUAUCAUUAUGUAAUGUCCUUCUUUGUCUCUUAUUAUGGUUUUUGUGGUUUAAGUGUAUUUUGCUUGAUUUAAGUGUUGCUACUUGGGGUUCUAUCUUGGUCACAUCAUCUAAAUCAGUAAUGUCAUCAUUUACCUGAUUUCAAAUAUUACUGCUUACUGAACAUUUUCUGUUGCCAUACCAGUACCAGCCUAUACAAAUUAGUUAUCAGGCUGGUCCUGUGGAUGAGUCCCAUCUACAUGUGGUCUUGCCUCACAGGUUUUUUUUAUACUAUGCAUUUAUCUGCCCUAUUGUCUUGAGAGAAACAGCUUGUAGAGACCAAUUAAUUUCCUUAUCACCUACCUUAGCUGGUUCCUGAUCUAUCCUUCCAUACUGAAAUGAAACCCCUAAAUGCUGAGCACCUAACCACCAUGUUACCACAGAAAUUCAAAAAUAUGAUAUUGACUGCCACAGAGCUCUAUUUAGAAAAAGUAAUUAAUACUAAGAAAUUGCCUGUGGCUCUCCUAAAGGUUAUUUCAACACUAGAUAGAGAUUGGAUUCCUGAACUUGAUAGAAAGAUACACCUUUUGGGAUACCUGGGUGGCUCAGUGUUUGAGCAUCUCCCUUCAGCUCAGGGCAUGGUCUUGGAGUCCCACAUUGGGCUCCCUGCAUGGAGCCUGCUUCUCCUUCCUUUCCCUAUGUCUCUGUCUCUCUCUCUGUGUGUCCCUCGUGAAUAAAUAAAUAAAAUAUUUAAAACAAAAAAAAGAAAGAUACACCUUUAUUAGAAAACUGAAAUUGAAAAGUGAAAAGUGUUGAAGUAGUAAAAGGUUACACACACACACACACACACACACACACACAUAUACUUAAUGCCCUAGAUACAUAGUUUUAACUUUAAAAAGCAUAACGGAGGAAAGAAUAGUAAAUUUACUGUUCUCAUUUCUCACAUUUUCGUAAUGGUUUUCCCACUAACUUUUGAGUAAGCUUUAAUGCCAUGAUUUUGACCAAGACUAUAAUAUGUAAAACUUUUUAAGAUUUCACAACAAAGAGUCAGGUUCAGUAUGGAUAUUUGUGAAAUAAAAUGUCUAGUAAAAAUAAAAAGGGCCUCUCAAAGAUAUUACUAAUCUAACUAUAAAAAUUACUCAACAUUAAAAAAAAUUACCCAACAUUUUACUUUUAGUCAGAAAACUCACACAUACUUACACAAUGUUAACCAUAGAAUAUAAUCCAUCAGAAUCCAGUUAUUUAUAGUAGGACACACCAGAAAGGACUAGAAUCUAAAAUUAGUUCCAUUCCCUGAGGUAGUUCUUAAAAUGUGUUCCGUAGACCACCUGCUUUAUAAUUACCUGGGAAGUCAGUUCAGAAUGCAAAUUCAAGGAACCCACUUCAGACUUCUAGAAUUAGAAUUUCUGGGAUUAGAGCUCUGCAAUAUGAUUUUUUUUUCUAAGAUGCCUUGAUUUUAAGUGCAUGUAAGUCUGAGAAUCACAGCAACAGAAGAAAGCAGGUGAAAAACACUCUGAGCUACAAGUAGGUAUGUUCCUUGUAACAGGCAAUGAAGAAUAUGCAAAAAAAAAAAAAAAAAUGUGGAAACUCAGUCCAAGCAGACAGUUGGCAAGAUGAGGUAGGUAUCCUCCACAAGUGCAUCAAUUCACUUGGGUUUAAAGCUUCACUAAAUGCUUACUUUGUCAAUUGCCAAGUUUUUUAACUCUAUGGCUCAGUUUUUACAUGUAAAAUAAGAAUAAUAAUACUCUAAAUCAUAGAGUGGUUAUGAGGAGCAAACAUUUUAACACAUAUAGACCACUCAGAGCAACAUUCAAUGCAUGAGUUCUCAAUAUAUAUUAGGUCUUACUGAUCACAAAGCAGUUCUCUUGAGAGAUAAAAAUCAUUGCAUCAACUUUGAAAAUGAUUACCCAGUUCUGUGAAACUAUGUAAUGAAAAUACAGUAUUUUACACAUAAAGUGCCACAUGGAUAUUAUAUAUGCUAUUCUUAAUGAUUCAUUAAAUAAAAGCAAUUCAUAUUCUUUUCUCCUAAAAAGUCAACUCUGUGAAAUUACUAUUUUACCAUGUUUGGCUCAGCUGCUAAACAAAAUUUCUCCUAAGAUAUCUCCAUGAGAUAGAAUUUUCCCAUGAAAAUUUGAUCACCAGGUGGAAUUAAUCAAGCUUUAUUUCCACUGGAUAGAAGUUUCUGAAAUCAUUUUCCCAAUGCUUCAUCACAGUCAUAGCUUAGUUUUUUUUUUUUAAUAUUCAUUUCACAGUCAGAAGGCUUAUGACAAAAGAUGUUGCCACAGGAUUUCCAGUACUUUCUAUUGUUUACUUUUUCUGUGGAAAACACUGAAGUGACCUGAGAUAAGCUCUAAUAGAAAGAGUCAAUCUAAAACUACUGGGUCCUUAUCUAUAAAUACUGCACUGCUAACGGAUAAAUAACCAUCAUUAGCCAUAUCCCUGGGCUGUUUCUAAGCAAAAUUGUGAGAUGUAGUUUAUCCAUAACAUCGUAUUUUCCCUUUUGAUAUAUUUCACUUAUGAUGCCUUCUCCAUCUGCCCUUCCUAAUCAAGAUAAUAUUUUUUUGUUCUUAUCUACCCACAAAGCUUGCUGUUACAAUUUUACUCCACUGGAAAUUAUCUGUUCUAUAUUAUAUCAUCCCAUGACCCAGUGUUCCCUAUAAUGGAUCUAAACUGAUGGGCAGCAGUUUUGAAGGACUGUUGCAGUUACCCAUAUCUAGCUAAGAUUUGGGGGGACUAAUUCAUGUCCCUAUAGUUUUCUUAUACCAUACUAUGAAGAGUAAUGGUAAAAAGUAUAAGAGGAUGAAAAAGAUGUUUAAGAGUAGGCAAAUCUCUUAACAACCAUUCAUGACCACCUUAUUGUUCCACACCUGGAAAAGAAAACCUUGGAAAAAGCAAUACACCAAGACCAAAGGUACUUUUAAUAGACUAAUUUUACCAUUCAGACUUUAUCUUUCAUUGGCUCCCACUCUCAUUCAACCCAAUGGUUAGUCAUAAUUUUACCUUUCCUCUUGAAUUUCACUCCUUGACUCUGAGUACAUGAAAAUGAAAGUCAUCGAAUAAAAUUUCUCUCACCUUCCUGCUUUCUAACCUGAAAAGCUCCUGUGCUCCUCCUAGCUAUUCUUCCUUUCCUGAGUAUCAGGGUAAAACAAUAUCUUCCUCUUUUUGAAGGUUGAUAUCUAUACUUAGAUUCUGAGUCCUAUAUAUAUCCAUCUAACUUGAAGCUUUCUUUUUAUCAUUGCCUUCAAAUGGCUUUCUUCUUAUGCUAUGUUCAGUCUUAAAAAUUUCUUCCUUAACUCUGCAUUCAUCCCUACCUCCCUUCCCACAGUAGGGGAAGGGAGGUAGGGAUUGUUUUCUAUCUAAUUUUCUAAUUCCCAACAAUUUGCUUCUAUCUUCCCAUCUGGACAUUUAAACUUUAAUGGUUAUGGCCACCACUGACUUCGACAUUGCCAAAUCCCAUGGACAAAUUUGUAGCAGUUGACAUUAUUGAUUAGCCUUUCCUUCUUAGAACUCUGUCUUUCCUUGGCUUCCAUAACACCAUCUUAAAUAAAAGACAUUUAUUCUUUAAUCUCUUAAUCUCUUAACCUUUAAUCUCUUAAUCUCUUAAUCUCUUUUAUUGGAUAUUUUCAUUCUGCUUAUCCUUAAAAUGCUUUACUUUGGACCCACUUGUAUUUUCACCUUACAUUUCCUUUCUUCUUGUUCCAACCUAUUCCCAUUCCAACCUAUUCCCAUUGUUCCAACCCUAUUCCCAUUUUAUUCUUAUAAAUUUAAAUGUAUAAACUUGAGUCCCAAACCAGAACUUCUAGUCUCAGAUACUUCUAAACUCCACCACCAAGUAUCUAAUAAGCUCACUGUAAUGUCUACCAAAUGUCUAUUUUUCCUGCAGGACAUUUAGUGAUAAAAUACUAUUUAUGAAUCAAGCAUGCCAGAAAUCUGGGAAUCACUUUUGAACCUUCAUACUUUCUUACUUCCCAUAUCCCAUCAGAGCACUGUGUCCUGUCAGUCUAUAUCCCAACGCCAUCUGUAACCUAUUAACUUCCUUCUAUCCCCAUAGCUAACAUUGCCUUAGUACAUAUUAUAUCAUCUCUUCCUUUAAGACAAACCUGUUAAGAAAAUACAUUUUAAAGUAAAAUGAUGAAUUUUAUACAAAUAUAAAAUGAACAUUUAUUAAUGAUUUUAUUUAACUAAUUAAUUAAUGAGGAAACCAAUAAGAUGUUGUAAUAUGGUGAAAGGACAACUCGAAAUAUCACACUUCUGAACCACUGGUUCAGCGGUUGAGCGUCUGCCUUUGUGGGCGUGAUCCCGGAGUCCCAGGAUCAAAUCCUGCAUCAGGCUUCCUGUGUGGAGCCUGCUUCUCCCUCUGCCUAUGUCUCUGCUUCUCUCUCUCUCUCUCUGUGUCUCUCAUGAAUAAAUAAAUAAAAUCUUAAAAAAAAAAAAAAAAAAAA